AGCCAAACUUUAAUAUUUAUCUUCGGCGAACGUUUGCAGUCGCAAACUUCCAAUGCUUGGCGACUGCGUCUAAAAUGCCGUCGCAACUAGAGAACAACUACGAGCCCAAUUCUCUUAUUAAAUCUAUUUUCUCAUAAAAAAACCCUAGCCUAUUUCUCUCAAUCCCUGUUCUCUACCGCAUCCCUCUUUCUCUUUCUCUCUGUUCUCGAUCUCACUGAAGCAGAUCGGAUCGGAACUUCCCGUCGCUGGUCCUCCGUGUUCAGUCUCUCCGCUCAGUCCUCUCUCUCUCUCGCUCAGCGGCUCAGUUGUUGUCGUUCUCUCUCUCUCUCUUAUACAUAUCACUUUGUCUCAGCGGCUCAGAACCAGAUCGGAACCGGCGGCUUCAGCUUCUUCAUCGCUCAGUAGCUCUUGCUCUCUCUUUCUCUCUGCGCGCGCGGCUGCUCUGAAGACUGAAACCAGAUCUUUCCGAACCAAAAGAAAACCCCCAAAGCCUUCUCUCUCAGCCUCUCUCACAUCUAGCCCUAAAUCGCUCUUCGUUGGGUGGAGAAAUAGAAGAGGUUGUAUAAGCUAGAGAGUUGUUGGAAAUGAAUGCUGAAGCUUUGCAAGUUGCUAAGGCAUACCGCCACCUUCUCAAAGCUGUCAAGAACCACGUUGCCAAAGAAGACACUAAGCGGCAUUUCAGAGAUUAUGUAACUGAAGAAUUUAGAUUCACAUGAAAAACCCAGAUACCAUGGAGUUUCCUACCUAAUUGAUUUUUUCCUGUGGUUUUCUUUGAAAUUUGCAGGUAUUUGAGCAAUUAUGGUUCCAGGGUAGUGGUAAACAAUUCUGGUGUGGAAGAAAACAAGGAAAAGACGGUGGUUAUCUAAAGCUUGACUUGUACGAGAAUUCUGUUAUCUAAAGUUGGGGAACUGCAUAUUUACCUUGCUAGCAAUCUAAUUUCAUGUUCAAGGCCUAUUGGCAAUGACGUAAUUAGCAUUUAUUUGGGAACAAUCUUCUUGCAAGGAAAGGAGAGGGCUGGAAAUCCUGAGACAUUGAGUCUAAAGCUAGGAAGUGACAUUAUUUUAACUGAAAAGGUUCAACCCUGCGGUGGUAUUUGGAGUGACAACUGCUCUUUGAAAAUGGGAAGAAGACGCCCCUUCAUACUUGCAGGAUCUCUCAUUAUCUCUGUUGCCAUGCCAUAAGUCAAUCAUUGCAAUUCUAGAGCUGCGUGCUAGGUGGGGGAACAGGAACUCAGCUAGCUUGCAUGAAUUUUGUUUUUUGGGGAAUUGCAGGUUCCAGAUGCAACUAGUGACCAUGCAUGAAAUUCGGAGAGAGUCUGUAGGAGAAGAAAGGAAUCCAGAUUCAAGCAGUGAUAGAGCAAUGGGCUGAGUUUCAAUAUGUUAUUGCAUAUUUUUGUUAAGUGUUACUCUUAGUUGUCUUCAUUAGGAACUUGAUUUUGGGCAUAUAUAAAU